AAAGGAUGAAUAGAACAAUCAAGG
rnacentral:piRNA from 1 species